GUCGGCGGGACACUGAUGUCCACCACGUUGUUUCCCGGCGACUCGUCGUGGGCCGAUCGAUCGGCGAUCUGCUUCUGUGAUACGAUACGAUCGAGGAUGCUGCAUCAGAUUUCUGGGAGAAUCUGUGUUAAAGGCUAGAACAUCAGGAAGUUUAGAGAGGAUGUGAAGCGCUGGAGGAAUCAGAGGUUAGGAGGAAAACAUGUGAUAAUACCAUUCCAGAAACCACCAUUCCUCUAACGGACGGGAAAUGAGCUGCUGAAAUAUUCUAGAGUCUGUUGCACAGGGAAGGUGGAUAAAGCGACGAGGGAUGACUACGACUAGAACUUGAGACACAUUAAGAGAUGAACAGUAAGAUCCAACCUACCUGCCAUCAAAACACUGACGCAACACACACAAACUGACACUAUAUGACAGGAUCCUGUCAUCCUCACUGAGAACUGUCAUUAAUACUUUGCUCUUUUUGUCUUUAUGUUGAUAUGUGUUGUUACGAUCUAAUUAUUAGAUCACAACAAAGUAAGGGAGACGCCACACAACCACUGCAUAAAUAAUGAGAUUUAUUUAACUUAAAUAAGAAAUAUGAAAUGUCAAGUGAUCAGUGUAAAUGUAAAUAGCAAGUUCAAAUGACAUCAGUUCAACAAAACAUAAACAACUAAAGGCCCAAAUCAAAACAUUAUAGAAAAAAUGGAUCACAUGAUGAUGACCCCAACGAGGCUGUGCGUCUCCCAUAACCCACACAUCCCGUCAGCUCUCCUGUAGUCUCAAUGAGCAGCACCACCAGCGAGUAACACUCUCUCUGCCGUCUCCGUUUAAACCGGUGUCUUUUAAAGUGCCAUGAUUACGUUAAGGUGUAAAGCCACGCCCUCCAGCAAUCAGCCUGUAACUCGUGAACAAUACAACCACUCACUGAG